GUUUCUUGACUACUGUUGUCAUUGUGGUCUGUCCCCUGUCCAUGUCUUAUGCCCUUAUGUUAGUUGUUAUUGUGGUCUGCCCCCUGUCCGUGUCUUAUGCCCUUAUGUUAGUUGUCAUUGUGGUCUGUCCCCUGUCAUUGUGUCUUAUCUGUUAGUCAUGUU